ensembl:lncRNA SLC7A14-AS1 SLC7A14 antisense RNA 1
GAAACCCUCCUCCACUGAGAAGGGGUCAUCCACGUCGUAGCGUUGGUACGUGCUUUGGUGCAGGGCCUCUUCUCGAGCGCUGAUUUCCAGGGUGCUGUUCCAGAUGCCAUAUCCAAAAUAAAUGAGCAGACCUGUGGGGCGAGGGGAAAGCCUAACGCUUCAGAGUUCACCCUGGGUGGCAAGACCAGGGCUGAAGGACCUUGUACCAGCAACUAAAUGCUCUGUGCUGAAAGUGAUGCACAUCACCAUGGCCCACAACUCAUAGUCCAGGAUGGCUCAUAUGACCCCACUGCAAUCACAAGAUGAGUAGUUGAAAAGUAAGAGCAUGCAUGAGAAACUGACUUUCCAAAAAAUGAGUGGAAUUUCUUUUCCAUACUGCUUCACUCUGCAACAGUAUGCAUCACAGCUUAUGAAUCAGAUACUUCAGCAUCAACUUUUUUCAUGGAAAAGUGCAUCAUUUUGGAACAGAGAACUUCUGUGUUGUUGUAAAACCAAGUGAACAGUUCUUAAAAUAUCUUACGUCAUAUUAAAUUUGAACUGCUGUUAAAUUAUGUCUGGAGCCACUCAGUGAUGGCAGAAAUGACUAAGUGCUUUGAUUAGAAAUUGUCUAUGUUUAUGCUAGGGGUUAUUUGUGAAUUUUAUUCUGGAAAAUUACACUAAGAGAGAUUAGUAUUCACUUUAUCUUAAACUAUCUUGAUAUGUAGCAUCCACAAAGGGUGCAUGAGUUGCUCUCUCCUUCAUGCCUUCAUGUUAAAAGGUAAUGACCUCCACUUAUGGUUGCUCUUGCUUUCAUCUUACCCACUUUAAAUCUUUACUCUGUACUCUGACUUCAAUACCUGCUUGUGGCCCCUUUGGCUUUGGAUGAUCUCCUGGCAUUUUUCACUGAGCACUCUUGCAUGCUUUUGUUUCUUUCUCCGAUUUUUCUUUUGACUUUGGGAGUUGACAUUACUUUGAGUGAGAUCAUCUCCCUUAACUCCUGGCCCAUAGAGCUUCCUUUCCCAUCCCUCCAGCCACAGUUAGCUCCUAGAUAAUAUUUUUGGAUGCAUAAAAAUAGUUUUAUUCUUCUUCUUUUGAUUUAAGAUGGUAACCUGAGUGAAUGGGAUGGGAGAGGCUUGGAGUUGGUGAGCAAGCCAAGGGAGGAAUGAGGAAGUGAUAGUAGAAUUUAGCCCUUGAUUUUAGUUUUGAAGCUUAAUACAUCCCUUAGGUUUUUAUUUAGACUUAUCAUCAGCCUCUACCUGUCACUUAUUUAAGCAACCGUUUAUACAGCCUUUAUGUGCCCAGUGCGAUGCAAGUUGCUAGGAAUAACCAAGUAGAAGUUGCAAUCUCUGCCUUCCAGGAGCUUAUUAUCUAAUGGGGGAUGCAGAGAAGUUAUAAAAAAAAUUACAAUUCAUUGUGGUAGGUGCUACUGGAACACUCUAAGAGAAUCGGGGAUUGCUUAAAACAUCCAUUAGUGUUUAUGGCUUUCAUUUCAUGAGCUGGCCUGAAAAUAGUGCAGGGGUUGAUCAAUUUGGCAGGAAUAAUCAGACAAUAUUUAUAAGACCCUUUUUACCAGCUGAAGACAUUUUCCUUAAACGUGGUACAGUUCUUAGAAUGGUAUGUUUUCCCACUCAUGCAACCGAGAAAUGGAGGGUUUCUCUCCUUGGUGCUGAAACAGAUAUUUUCGGGUAGGAAGAGUGGAUUUUGUAAACAGCACUGGUUUCUAAAAUUGGUGAUGAGGGGCAGAGAAGAAAUCAUUUAUCUAGAGGACAGAUUGGACAGAGGGUGAGCAGGCUCCAUUUUGACAAAUGGGGAUGGCAAUGCUGAUGAGCAGUCAGCACAGAGACAGAGCACUAGUCCUUCUUAGUCUAAUUCAUCUUAUAAUUAAUUGGCUCCAAAGAAGGCUCCCCACACAAGUGUGGGGGCAGCACAGUGAGUAGAGGUGCUCUCCAUCCCCAUGUCCUGAUGCAGCAGAUGCCAUGGCUAUGUGUAGGCAGUAAGGGGUGGGUGUCUGAAAACAUGCAGUAUAGCAGCUGCUCGUGGCCCCACUUUCUUAGUGGCUGCUGGCGGGGUUGUGGCCAAGACCAUCUUCAUAAAUGCAUCAAUUCUGGGGACAGACUGAAAAAAAUAUUGCUUAAACAUGGGCUUCUUUGCAUCCCAUAGCCAUAUGAUGUCAACACUUUUCUGUUGACAAAGAACUUGUAUCUCUUUCUUUUUCUAAGACAAGUGUGGAGUUAGCAUAGUGUAGCAGAAAGCUAGACAGACCUGGAAGCUCAGUUUAUUUAUUUGCUAGCUGUAUGGUUUGGGGGGAAAUUAAUUAAUUCUCUGAGCAUUGGUUUGCUAAUUGAUAAAAUGCAUAAGAAACUUAACUUUGAAAUUGUAGUGAGGAUUUACUGGCAGAACACAUGUGAAGUGCCAGCACAGUUUCUGACAAACAGUAGGUGCCCCAUAAAUGGUAGUUAUUAAAUUUAAAUAUUACUAUUUCCAGAAAGGGUUUUUUCCUCUUGAAGAUGGGUAUGUGGGCAGAGAAUCAGAAAGCAUUAUAUUUUGAUAGAAGCCAGUACAGUCUCAUUGCAGGUGAGGCCAGUGCACCUUUGUUUUCUCUUACGCUUGAUGGGAGAGAAGCUGACUGACAAACAAACCAUGAGGGCUCAGGCUGUAAGGUAAUGAGUUCUAAAGGGCUUUGAAGCUAGGUUUCUUAUACAUGGUAGUCUAUAAAUGGAUUAUUCUCUUUUCAGAUUUCCUUUUCUUCUUUUGCACUCUGAGACACAGAAUUAAUUUCAUCAUAUCUACUCCUAAAUUCAUGCCUCACUAUCAUUGGUUCAUAGAAAAUAUUUCCUUUGUUUAUGUUUUAUUUCAUUACUUUCUCUCUUCUUCAUCUCAUAUCACCAGGCUCCCAUCAGUCACUCAAGGGCACCCAGUUUUGCUUGUCUUAUGAAUGCCUAUUUCACUAUUCUUAUGUUUAUUUACACAUAUGUGUAAGUGAAAGUACAUGAUAUUUUUGCGUGUGCAUUUUAAAUGUACAGAAAUGGUAUUUGGUCAGAAAUCUUGCUUUGUUACUUAUUUUGAAGGUAAGAAUUAUUUGAGUUUCAUUUUCAUUGCAGUAUGUAGAUUUGGUUUAUUUCUCAGAUACCUGCAUAAAUUUCCAUUUUAUGUGUAUACUGAAUUUUAUUUAUGAAUUCCCCUGGUGGUUACUUCUUACUCUUUACUCUUUCAAAUCAUGCUCAAUUAAUAAUCAUUUACAUGUUUCCUUGUGCAUUUAUAUGAGAGUUUCUGUGGAUCUAUAUCCAGGAAGGAAAUGAUAGAGUUCUAGAGUACAAGCUCUGUAGGCCUGAUUACUUUCCAAAAAGGCUGUACUAGUUUGCAUUUCUACUAGCAGUGCAAGGAUAUUUUUGUCUUUGCACAUCCUCAUCAGCACUUGACAUUGUUUGGUUUUCUAUUUUUUGCCAGCUGGAUGUGUGUAAAGUGGUAUCUAUUGUUUUAUUUGAGUUUCUCUGGGACUGGUGGUGUUAUACAUGUCUUUAUGUAGUUAUUAACUAACUGUAUUUUCUUUACUCUAAAAUUGCUUUAUUAUUAUUUUACUGCUUUCCUAUGUCCUUGCCUUUUUUGUAUUACAGAAUUCUUUGUACAUUUUAGAUAUUAACCUAUUGUCAGUCUUGGAAAUGAUAAAAUA